AGUGAACGCUGGCGGUAGGCCUAACACAUGCAAGUCGAACGGCAGCACAGUAAGAGCUUGCUCUUACGGGUGGCGAGUGGCGGACGGGUGAGGAAUACAUCGGAGUCUACUUUUUCGUGGGGGAUAACGUAGGGAAACUUACGCUAAUACCGCAUACGACCUACGGGGGAAAGCAGGGGAUCUUCGGACCUUGCGCGAUUGAAUGAGCCGAUGUCGGAUUAGCUAGUUGGCGGGGUAAAGGCCCACCAAGGCGACGAUCCGUAGCUGGUCUGAGAGGAUGAUCAGCCACACUGGAACUGAGACACGGUCCAGACUCCUACGGGAGGCAGCAGUGGGGAAUAUUGGACAAUGGGCGCAAGCCUGAUCCAGCCAUACCGCGUGGGUGAAGAAGGCCUUCGGGUUGUAAAGCCCUCUUGUUGGGAAAGAAAAGCAGCAGGUUAAUACCCCGCUGUUCUGACGGUACCCAAAGAAUAAGCACCGGCUAACUUCGUG
rnacentral:rRNA from 1 species